CGACGAUCGGGAAUGUGCUGCUACAACGACUCCUGUGUGACUCCUAUAUCAGAGAACCAACUGCAGUCUGCUCAGGCCUACGUCCUCUUCUAUCAACGCAGGAAGUGAACCAUCGGGCAGCCAAUCACUACAGCUAUAACUGCAAAACAGAGCAUUCAGCAGCCAAUCAGAAAAACUGUUACUACAAGCAGAGCUUUCAGCAGCCAAUCGCUACAGCUGUUACUACAAAUGGAAUGUUACAAACAGCUGUGAUGUAGCGGUAUUGUAACCAAGCAACCAGCAUCUCAACCAACUGGUCUGAUGUUGGACUACUUGAGGUUUGUGUGAGUCUGGGACAAAGACAGGAGAAAGGGAUAGAAAGACAGAAGAAUAGACGGUGAGGAGAGGAGAAGACCAGUGUAAGAGAACAUGUGUGUGUAGACCUUCAGUUCAAACAGACAGAGAUUCUGUUAUCACUGUACACACACACACACACACACACAGCCAUGAGGAAACAUGUCAACAACAUGUUAACAGACAAUAUUAACUUGUGCUAUACACUAGCUUAAUUAAUAACCAACAAUGGGACAGAACGCUUUAAAGAAAAGCCUGUGUUAAAAUAGUCUAGACGACAUAUGUACUGGUAGGUAGAAACAUUCAUUUGCACUGAGUAGAAAGUCGCUUUUUUCAUUUUAUGCUGUUAUAAAUUGAUACAUUUUUUAUAAAACACAAACUAGGACUGUGCAUCAAAGGGGUGUUUGAGCAACUUAUGACAUUUUUCUAAAUUAACAAUUAUUUAAAUUAUUUUUUUGUUUUUACUUUCUUAUUUGAUUAAAAUGUGGAGAGUUUUGUUUCGCUAUGUCUUGUUAAGUGCAAACCUAAAUAAAACUGGUGAGUUGG